UACGUAGGGAGCAAGCGUUGUCCGGAAUUACUGGGUGUAAAGGGAGCGUAGGCGGGGAUGCAAGUUGGGUGUCAAAACUACCGGCUCAACCGAUAGUCGCACUCAAAACUGCAGCUCUUGAGUGAAGUAGAGGCAGGCGGAAUUCCUAGUGUAGCGGUGAAAUGCAUAGAUAUCACGAAGAACUCCGAUUGCGAAGGCAGCUCACUGGACUGCAACUGACACUGAGGCUCGAAAGUGUGGGUAUCAAACAGG
rnacentral:rRNA from 1 species